AGGCGCGUAGCUCAGUUGGUUAGAGUACCACCUUGACAUGGUGGGGGUCGUUGGUUCGAAUCCAAUCGCGCCUACCA
rnacentral:tRNA from 1 species